rnacentral:rRNA from 1 species
UACGAAGGGGGCUAGCGUUGCUCGGAAUCACUGGGCGUAAAGGGUGCGUAGGCGGGUCUUUAAGUCAGGGGUGAAAUCCUGGAGCUCAACUCCAGAACUGCCUUUGAUACUGAGAGCUUGAGUUCGGGAGAGGUGAGUGGAACUGCGAGUGUAGAGGUGAAAUUCGUAGAUAUUCGCAAGAACACCAGUGGCGAAGGCGGCUCACUGGCCCGGUAUA